GUGGCUUCUAGAGUCUUCUAGAUGAUAGAAAAUUAGCGCACACGUUAAUAUCUCUAUGUAAACCUGACGUGUGGGCCUUUCCUCCAUAUUUCCUGAUAACCCCCUAUAGAAAUAGACAAACACAAAAACUUAUGGAAUUCUGUCAGAUAAAACCCUAAGUCUAGGUGUUGGUUGUAUUUGGAUCCUUUUCCAUGAUUAGUUGACGGUUAAAUGUGAGCAUUAAGGACCGUCAACAAGCUCCCCAAGCUUAACCUUUGCUCGUCCCUAAGCAAGGAUGGACUCAAGAGUUUCUGCAGUGGUUUCAUGCCUUAAAGGUACACAUGCGUUCAAACAAGAUCUCAUCUCUAGGUUAGGUAAACUGUUAAGAUUUAAACUUACUCAUUUUUACUUUCACCAUAGGGCUUGCAACCGUCACUUGUGUCUUGAGCAGUUAAAAGAUAGAACGGUGUAGUCUAGCGCCAUGUCUCUUGUUCUUCGAUUAACUAUAGCUCUGGAGUUUUUGCAAAUUUUCAAAUAAAACUCACAGAUUCCUUGUAUGACUCUCUCUAGUCUCUCUUUUGUAUUAUUUCUGGAUCCUUACCAAGGCAGUAAUGGUGUAUGCCUUCUCUCAAAGUAUGUGGUAUUUUUGGUAUGAGGCAUAGUGGCAUUGCCUUCUCUCUCACCCUACUCUAAUAAGGUUUUGAUAUUUGGAGCUCAUAGGUGGGAGACAGCUAAUACAUACUUACAAGACAUUUAUUGCAUAGUCAAACCAUGGAUCCAGAAGAACAAGUCAAUAAGUCAAAUCAAGAUGUGCAUGUGUGGCGAAUGAAUGGUGAUAAUGGUGAAAAUAAUGGUGAAAGUCUAAUUCUACUUUUGCUCUUUUGAGGGGGUACAUACCUUCCUUGCACUUGAGGCUUUUGAGGGGAAUGAGAUGCUCUAUAUUUUAUUUUUCUUUUCUCUCAGGUGGGUAUCUUGUACCCCUAAUUCUACUGUCGGACACUUGUCUGUUUUUACCUCUCGUCUCACUUUUUCUUCUUUUUUUUCGAGGUUUCGGGCACUUGUCCCUUUUUAUUUCCUCGUAUUCACUUUUUUCAGAGCACUCACCCUCCUAGAAUAAUGUAGCAAUUGGUAGUAACCAAAAUAUCUAGAGCAUUUAUUUCACGAGGAACAACAGAGAUAGGAUAAUGUUUGUGGCUAUUCUCUCCUAGAUAGGAGUAGAAUAAUUUUGGGUGAAUCUGGAUAUGGAAAUGAGUGGAUGUAUGUGAAUGCGUACUUCUGGAGUAGAAGUAGCAUGUAUUAGUGAACAUGCAAGUGAAUCUUGAUUUUAACCGCAUGAUAAGCUCCUAAGGGUCUACACAGCUUGACCAUACUCAAUGCUCAUAAGCAGUAAAAAGUAAAUGUAUGGUUCAUAGUCUAAUAAGUAUGUAUAUAUGGCUAUGGUAGAAUUUUAAACUCUCAUCAUAUAGGAACUCAUCAUGCAACAUUUUAAAGAUUUUCAAAGAUAAAAUUCUCCAGAAUUCUUGCUGUUGACGGUCCUUAAGUAUCAAAUUUAAUUAUCAAAUAAACAAAGAAAAGGAUCCAAAUGAAAUCAACAUCUAGACUUAGGGUUUUAUCUGACAGAAUUCCACGAGUUUUGGUGUUUGUCUAUUUCUGCAGGGGGUUAUCAGGAAAAAUGAAAGAAAGGCCCACACGUCGGGAUUACAUAGAGAUAUCAACAUGUCGCGCAAUUAUCUUACAUCUAGAAGACUCCAGAAGCCACGGGAAGGAAGCGGAGGACGAACGGGGCCAGGGACUGGGAGCCCGCCCAGUUGCCCUGGGCGCCCGCCCUCCUGCCGAGCCCAAUCGGGACUCUUUUCGCACACGACGCUCCACCGACCUAA
rnacentral:lncRNA from 1 species